AAAAGAACCCCGGGAGGGGAGUGAAAUAGAUCCUGAAACCGCAUACAUACAAACAGUAGGAGCCUCGUUAAGGGGUGACUGCGUACCUUUUGCAUAAUGGGUCAGCGACUUACGUUUAAUGGCGAGCUUAACCGUAUAGGGGAGGCGCAGCGAAAGCGAGUUCGAACAGAGCGUUCAGUCGUUAGGCGUAGACCCGAAACCAGAUGAUCUAUCCAUGGCCAGGUUGAAGGUGUGGUAACACACACUGGAGGACCGAACCGACUAGUGUUGCAAAAUUAGCGGAUGAGCUGUGGAUAGGGGUGAAAGGCUAAACAAAUCUGGAGAUAGCUGGUUCUCCCCGAAAACUAUUGAGGUAGUGCCUCGUGUAUGACUCCAGGGGGUAGAGCACUGUUAUGGCUAGGGGGACAUGGCGUCUUACCAAACCAUGGCAAACUCCGAAUACUUGGAAGUUUGAGCACGGGAGACAGAGCACCGGGUGCUAACGUCCGGACUCAAGAGGGAAACAACCCAGACCGCCGGCUAAGGUCCCUAAUAUUGACUAAGUGGAAAACGAAGUGGAAAGGCUAAGACAGUCAGGAAGUUGGCUUAGAAGCAGCCAUCCUUCAAAGAAAGCGUAAUAGCUCACUGAUCGAGUCUUUCUGCGCGGAAGAUGUAACGGGGCUAAGUCAAUAACCGAAGCCGCGGAUUCACACUUAUGUGUGAGUGGUAGGGGAGCGUUCUGUAAGCCUGCGAAGGUGACUCGUAAGGGUUGCUGGAGGUAUCAGAAGUGCGAAUGCUGACAUGAGUAACGUUAAAGCGGGUGAAAAGCCCGCUCGCCGUAAGCCCAAGGUUUCCUGCUCUACGUUCAUCGGAGCAGGGUGAGUCGGCCCCUAAGGUGAGGCUGAGAAGCGUAACUGAUGGGAACAAGGUUAAUAUUCCUUGACCACCGCUGAAUGCGAAGGGGGGACGGAGUAUUGAAGAUCAUCCGGGUGUUGGAUAUCCCGGUUUGCGAGCGUAGGAGGCUGACAGGCAAAUCCGUCAGCGAAUCUCCGAGGCAAAGCAUCGAGCUCUCUUUUGAGCGAAGUGAUUGGAUGUGCUUCCAGGAAAAGCCUCUAAGCUCCAGUUCAGCGGGACCGUACCGCAAACCGACACUGGUGGGCGAGCUGAAUAUGCUCAGGCGCUUGAGAGAACUCAGGAGAAGGAACUCGGCAAAUUGACACCGUAACUUCGGGAUAAGGUGUGCCUUUGUAGCGUGGAGGGAGAAACACCCCGAGCGCGAAGAGGUCUCAGAUAAUCGGUGGCUGCGACUGUUUAUUAAAAACACAGCACUCUGCAAAGACGAAAGUCGACGUAUAGGGUGUGAUGCCUGCCCGGUGCUGGAAGAUUAAUUGAUGGGGUGCAAGCUCCUGAUCGAAGUCCCAGUAAACGGCGGCCGUAACUAUAACGGUCCUAAGGUAGCGAAAUUCCUUGUCGGGUAAGUUCCGACCUGCACGAAUGGCAUAACGAUGGCCACACUGUCUCCUCCUGAGACUCAGUGAAGUUGAAGUGUUUGUGAUGAUGCAAUCUCCCCGCGGCUAGACGGAAAGACCCCAUGAACCUUUACUGUAGCUUUGCAUUGGACUUUGAACCGAUCUGUGUAGGAUAGGCGGGAGCCUGUGAAACCACAACGCCAGUUGUGGCGGAGGCGUCCUUGAAAUACCGCCCUGAUUUGUUUGAGGUUCUAACCUGGGACAGUCAUCCUGUCCGGGGACCGUGCAUGGUAGGCAGUUUGACUGGGGCGGUCUCCUCCUAAAGGGUAACGGAGGAGUGCGAAGGUACGCUAGGUACGGUCGGAAAUCGUGCUGAUAGUGCAAUGGCAAAAGCGUGCUUGACUGCGAGACCCACAAGUCGAGCAGAUACGAAAGUAGGUCAUAGUGAUCCGGUGGCUCUGUAUGGAAGGGCCAUCGCUCAACGGAUAAAAGGUACUCUGGGGAUAACAGGCUGAUACCGCCCAAGAGUUCAUAUCGACGGCGGUGUUUGGCAC
rnacentral:rRNA from 1 species